UGUGUACUUCUACGUCAAAAGGGCCCAUACUGUCGGUAUGGAGUUAAGACCACUGGGCCAUACUAGACAAAAUUUCGGUUCCAAUGGUCCAAACUGGGGGUCUUAAAGUGAAAAUCUCGCGAUUUUACAGAUUUUUGAAGUCAAAGUUUUAAAAAACAUAGUUUUGAGAAAAACGCGUUUAAAGUUUGAGGAAAAAAAAACAUUUUAGUAAGCUUUUAAAAUUUUUGAAAACCUAAUAUCUACUCAAAAUUAUGCUAAAAAUGACGUUUUUAAUGUAUUUUUUCACGUAGAACACGAAUUCGUGAUCAGUUUUGCUCUAAAGUCAUGCCCGUUUUAGUAAUCGCAAAAAAACCUGCUUAACUUUCAUUGUUUUUUUUCAAAAAAUUAAAAAAAUUUACAUACGUUUCUUCAACUUUAAAGGCGUAAAGUUUCGAAAUUAAGCGUUCUACGAAAAUUUCAUGUAAACAAAAUUGUAGAGAAUUUAAUUCUCUUUGAGAUCAAUGUCAUCAGAUUUUUGCUAGGACGUACCGUACGUCCGGUAAACGCGGAAAACUAAAGGACUGAAUUUUCACCUUAUGCAAAAAAAUGUACAAUUAUUUCAGUUAGUUUUGGUGAGCUUUUGGAAUCAAUUAUAUUUUUCAAAUUAUGUUUUUAAUGUAUUUUUUCAUGAAGAAUACGAAUUUGCGGUCAUUUUCAUCUCUAAAGUCGUACCCAUUUUUGUGAUCGCAAAAAAAGUACUCAACUUUCAUUUUUUUUAAAAAUAAAAAUCAUUUGCGGCUGGUUUCACUCGUAUUUAUUAUUUAGAUUCACCAUAAAAUUAGUUAUAUACUAUUAAAAAUCCGAGUUUGAAGAUCAAUACCGGUGGCUAGGUGACUGUAUUAGUGGAUUAUCACGCCAGAGGUAGGGAGUUCGAGUCUCUGCAGGGGCGAAAAUUUUUUAUGAUUUUUUUAUAUCAAUUUCUUUUUAAAGCCACGAGUUUUUGUAAAAUUUUCAUUUUUUAUACAUUUUAACUUGUUUUUUCAAAUUUUUUGCGUCAUUUUUCUACUUUUGUGAGUAAUAAAUUCAAGCAUGCUUCACAAAAAAACAAAAAGUUUCGAUGAAAAUAGGAGUUAUUGGAGGGUUUGGAAGGUUCCAUUCGAUUCUUAAAGACACAAAGAGUUUCUACAACAAUUUCUGGAAAAAAAUAUUUAUUCAUUUUUGGUUGUAUUGUCCCUUUCCGUAUGCGCCCUCACAUAAUAUGCAAAACUUGGCCAAAAUAAAAAUAAUGUAAUGCUUGGUAUCGACAAAGUGGGCCCUUUCUUAACGAACAUGUUUCAGGUGGUUUCAUGCGGUUGUUGGAGGGAGAACAUUAUGAAAAACCGGUUAUCGACAACAUGGGCCCUUUUUCUUUUUUCGCUUUUAGUGCUGUAAGUCUGUAAAAAGUCAUGGUAUCAAAAAUCCGCGAAUGGCAUGUGAUGUACCCAGGUUAGGGGUACCCAAAACCGUGAAAACACCAAUUUUGUCAAAAUCGACUUUCUUACACGUUUUGGUUAAUAUCUCCUAAACUAAAAUCGACAAAGUGGGCCCUUGUGAUGUAGAAGUACACAUAUGAGAAAUGAAUGUUUUGGUUUGGUUUUGGUUCGAUAAUUUUCUCAUUUCUUAUAAAACUGAAAAGAAUUAAUGAAUUUGAAUUAAUUAAACUAGUGUUUAAUUUCCAUUUCCUACGUACAGUUUCAUUUUGAAUAGUUCAAUUGUUCGAUUAUUCGCUUUCUUCAGUUCCUUCUGCCAAAUAUGAAUGAUCCAAGUUUACAAAAUGAAAAUCAUACUAUUGAAGCAUACUGCAGAGAUAAUAACAAAACGGUAUCUGAUUUGAGCGCCGACGAAUUAAUCAGCAUUCUUAAUCAACGACUGACGAUGAAGCGAGAUUUAAUGAAUCAAAUCCAAGUUCUCAAAGAAAAGUCGAAGAAGCUUGACGAUCAAGUGAUGGCCCUAGCCAACAUUUAUAGUGUCACUCACUCAAAAUGAUUAUUUUACGUAAAUAUUGAAAUUCUGAUAUCAUGUUUAUAUGUAGUUUAUUUUACUGAAACCAGUUUUCAAAAACUAUGUAUUGCUGUGCAUUUUUUAUUCGUCAUUUUUAUCAAACAUCCGUUUAAAAUAUUGUUUCUCUGGUAGAUUGAAUCAUUUUAUAUAUUAUUGUUUCUCAGGUAGACUGUAUCGUUAUAUUAUUGCAGUGCAUUUUAUAUAUUAUUGUUUCUCAGGUGUACUACAUCAUUAUAUUAUUGCAGUGCAAUUUCACAAGAUGAUAAUUUUGAUCUUUAGAUAUGUUGGUUUCGUAAUGUGACUUUUGAAUUUUUAAUACAGCUGUGCUAUUUUUGUUACAAAUGCAAUAAACUAAUUUAAAACGUGG